CAGACUCAUUACGGGACAAAACGACAGGCAGCGUGUCGGAGGGGAGGUUUCAGACAGAGGAGCAGGACUGCUGUGUAGAGAGGAUGCGAAGGAAAACGGAGAAUGAAGCACAGAACUACUAAAGGCAGUCUUUCUCAGGUAUAACACCACCAGCCCUGAGAGACAUGACGUUUAACUGCAGGAGUUUCCUGGAAUGAUGAUGCCGUGUGUCCCAGAGUGACAAGACAAAAAAAGUAGUUCAGCUUUCACAGCAAAACACACAUCAUCUCCACAACAUGGCGACUGCAGCAACAGUGAGAAUAAAAGCUG